AUGGAGUGCAACCCUAAGAUUUUAUGUUGGAACGUCCGCGGGUUAAACAAUCCCGCGAAGAGAAAGGCGGUUAAGGAGUUCUUGGGCUCGGUCAAAGUCAAUGUAGCGUGUCUCGAGGAGACCAAAUUGGAUGUUGUAGAUCCUUUCGUGGCUAUGCAAUGUUUAGGCCCGUAUCUGGACGGUUUUGCUUACUUACCUGCUGUGGAGACCCGUGGUGGUGUGAUCCUCGCU
rnacentral:rRNA from 1 species